AGCCACCACCAUGACAAGCAGCAUGUGAAGAUGCCGAUCCUGAGCAACCUCUGUUUGAGGAAGGACACUCAGAGGCAAUGAAAGUGGACAGUGGAUAGAGGAAGAGGGGAUACACUAAUCAAAAGAAGCCAUGUCUACGCACUGCAGCCCUCUUCGUCACUUCCGUCGGGACAAUCCACUAUCCCAUCACAUUGCGCAUUUUGUUUCCGGAAGCAAAUGUCAUUGCCACAUCUAAAGGUCCUGUUGGUGCAUGGGAUGCCUGAAAAUGAGCAAAAAAGAAGGAAGAAUUUUGGGUUUUUUUGUUGCUAUUGUUGCUGUUGUAGUUGCUGUUUUUAGUCAGAAACAGAUUUGAGGGGAUGACGUGGAACCCUGCAAAAGGAGUGGUAGUCACAGCAUCACUGCCUUCUGCUCUGAAGAGGCUGGCAGAGGAAAGGGGGGCCACCCCCACAGGGACCUUUUCCUUCACUUAAGCAGAUCCACUGGAAGGCAGGCAAGCAGCGCAUACUUGAGAAUCACGCCAACUGCCUUUCCUUAUCCAUGGAGAACACAAGGUUAAAAAAGUUGGCCGUAUCAAUGGCCUUGGGUCAUGGUCUCUUAGCUAUUGCCUAGUCUUACUCUCCAAGAGAAAAAAAAAAAGUCAUACCAUGCCACAAGCAGUCCUUUUUAGGUUGUGGGGGGGGGGG